rnacentral:lncRNA from 1 species
AAUCCGCAAAGGAGCUAACCUAUUUCAGUCAAGUUUUACUUUUAUCCUUCCUUUUGUAACUCGAGAUACCGGUACCUCGUGGUACCAAAUCGUUUCUGAUCGUUGGAUCUAACAAUGCACAUCCUACUUAGCUAGAUCUAAUGGUGAGAAACGAUUUGGUACCUCGAGGUACCAAAAGGAAGGAUAGGAGUAAAACUCUAGCUGGGCCUUAUUAAUCACCAAAACAAUACAUAUUUAAUCGUGCUCCCUUCUGUUUUUCUUUUGACAAGCUACCUAUCUGCAGACAAUAUGUAUAAACCAAUUUUUUGUUCAGUUGGUUAAUAUAUCCUCUUAUAUACUUGUAUGUAAUAUACUGUCUUACUAUGCUUAACCAACUGGAAAUCUCUCCGUGUUCUAAACUGGGAUGCAUAUGAACACAUGGUAGUAGCAUGCAUCUGGUUCUGGAGCAAAGAAU